rnacentral:piRNA from 1 species
AGCAAGGACUGCUAAACAUGGCCAGAUGCCUU